AUUGAACGCUGGCGGAAUGCUUUUACACAUGCAAGUCGAACGGUAGAGGGGGCAACCCCUCGAGAGUGGCGAACGGGUGAGUAAUAUAUCGGAACGUGCCCAGUCGUGGGGGAUAACGUAGCGAAAGUUACGCUAAUACCGCAUACGAUCUACGGAUGAAAGCGGGGGAUCGCAAGACCUCGCGCGAUUGGAGCGGCCGAUAUCAGAUUAGGUAGUUGGUGGGGUAAAGGCUCACCAAGCCAACGAUCUGUAGCUGGUCUGAGAGGACGACCAGCCACACUGGAACUGAGACACGGUCCAGACUCCUACGGGAGGCAGCAGUGGGGAAUUUUGGACAAUGGGGGCAACCCUGAUCCAGCAAUGCCGCGUGAGUGAAGAAGGCCUCGGUU
rnacentral:rRNA from 1 species